AUGCAGGCGGACUCGAGGAGGCUGUUCCACACGAGGAUCUGUUAGGCAUGGAUAAGGAAAGGAAAUCCGAGGAGGUUUGGCUGGUGUGUGAGUUAGAGUGAAGUGCUGAGGGCAGAGCGAGGCAGUUGUCCCGUGACUUCCCCAACGGCCCUUCAGCGCUGGAAGCCUGCAGAGGUUCAGCUGUGGCUCUUCUGUCAUGGCUGGCCUCAAAGUGAGAAUUCUAUCUGUGCUCUGUGCCGUGUUCUGCUGUAGCACAAACACUGGAAGCGAUGGGAGUCUUUGCUGUGUCUGAGUGGGUUUUGUGUUUUGUGCUGCAGUGUAUAAGCUUGGGAGGAUACAGGACAGGGAGACCUGGAACGUCUCUGCCGUGAGAGACCGGCCGAUCCCUCCGGAGGUCCUCUCACACCUGCAGGGUCGUAAGAGGUGAACAGAGAAACGAGACGGCUGCUGGUGUACAGACUGUGACAGGAACGGUGUAAGAGUCUGCAGAAAACGGGCUUCUCCCAGAGGAGAGCUACGUGCAAACACUCCUGUUUGAAAGGUACUUCCCCCAGAUCUUUGGUGAUUAAUAAAUUGUACUUUACUGAA